AAUAUGUAAUGAAUAAAAAUAUGAGUUUGCAAGAAAUAUCUUAUCAUCACUCUCUAAUCACUCUCUGAGACAAUGCUUUACAUACUAGUUCAAUUUUUUCAACUGAUCUGGAAUCAACAAAGGAAAUGUAUUAAAAAGGAAAUAGAUCAUAAAUACAUAAUAAGAGAGUAGAUAUCUUACGUGAUUUUAGGAUCACUACCAG
rnacentral:lncRNA from 1 species